rnacentral:lncRNA from 1 species
CUAAUGGGUUUGAUCAAGGGGCCCUGCAUUUCCAUUUUGCACUGGGCCCUGCUCAUUGUGGACUUGAUCCUGGCCUUAGGUCCUGGCAUGUACUGGUGCUGGCAGGCUCUGUGGGGUAAGGUGCCUGCCAGCCUAAUGGGCAGGCCUGGGAGGUGGAACCCUCAAGCCCUCCAAGAGAAGGAAAGAAAGCAGAACCAGGUGUGAGCACGCUUGAGAAAACCCCUGUGCCUUUCAUGGGAAGCCCCCCUCCCCACCCGAUGAAGAACCCCAGAGCAGAAUGCUCCGAGGGGUUGUUUCCCUGGCAACUCCUGUCUCCCCCAUUCCAUGCAAAAUAAAACACAAACCAAGCUUUGCUUUAAGUGCUCCCUGAUGCAGUUCAGCGUGGAGAACUGCGCGUCUGCCAAAGAGCCCGAACAAAACCAUCUGGACUCUGCUGCAUGGCCCCGUCUGUGGCUGCUGUAGCUGCCCGUGGGAAGGCCCUGCCUCCAGCUUCUGCCCUUGGCUGCGAACCAUGGAGUCCCGGCUCCCAGGCCUAUCCCCGGGAUGAUGCACUAGACAUUUUUGUGGCAGGGUGCAGAACAAUGGAUUCCCCCUGAUGCUUGCUUUAAGCAUGAAUUUUUGUUUUGCAAAUGCAAUCCUGGGAAGGAAGGGAGUCCACCAAUUAGUGGGAACAGCUCUUACUGACUAAUGGAUGGUUAACUUUACAAGUGGAAUGAUUUUUACAAAUGAGCUACAAUAUGACUUUUUAAGAUUCCUUCAACAUCAGGAUUCCCGAUCAUCUCAUCAACCGACUUGUUAAGAAAACUGAGGCCCAGGGAAGUGGCUCACAAUUGUGUAGAAUUGUGAGGUGUCUUGACUGCUGGGCCAGGACUGAAGGACGUACGCCCUCUCCCGGAAUCGUCUCAGCUACAGAGAACCACCUUGCCCAAGGUCACCACCCUCUUGCCAAGGGGGUCACUUGGAUCUAAUGAUUGGUUAAUGCUGGGGGGAGGGGGUAAGUCUUGGCCCCCAGCCUCAACAGUGAUGGCGGUGGCUCCGGGGUCAUCCUAGCUUCCGAGUUUCGUCUAGGUUGAGGGCGCCAUGUUGGGACUGCAUCAGCUUCUCUCUCUGCCUGGUUCUGCUUCCUUUACUUUACCAUUUGUUGUUAGUCCAGGGCACACCCCAGUAAACUUCCUGCAUGCGAGUUCAUCUUAGACUGCUUCCCAGGGAAUCGUAUGUACAACACUCGGGAGUAGAGAGUCACUGAAACGGCCCUAGCUCUGAGAGACCCCUCCUGACCAGCCAUCACCCCUCCCGCUCUUCCUUACUCUGAUUUAUUGUCUUCGUAGAAUUUAACUCUCAGGUCUAUGGCCAUACUGCCCUGAAUGCGCCUGAUCUUGUCUGAUUUCAGAAGCUAAGCAGGGUCGUGCCCGGUUAGUACUUGGAUGGGAGAAUUUAGUGCUCGAACACUAUUGCUGUAGCUUUCUUUAAUAAAUAAAUUUGACUGCC